CACACACACACACACACACACAGUAAGCUCUCCAGUCAGCUACAGAUACUCCCAGGCAUGCACAAAAGCGGACAGCAAAUUAAAGUGGUAAUUACUUUUAAGCCCAGAAAGGUGAAGGAUUGUAUGGCAGGGAGCAAUGGGUCACUGUUGAAUAGAGAAUAGGGGAGCAGGCAGACAGUGUGAAAGGCAGAUAUGCAUCUCAAUGAAAUAUGGAGGAGCAUACUCGACAAAAGGCGAAAUAGCUUCUUAAUGGCCACAUGCCCUCAAAGAAUUAUUGUCUGGAAGAUUUGGCAUAUUAUCUACUCUAUGGAAGUUAUCUUUAAACACCCUUUUAUACUUAUCACUCGCUAAGGGGAAGGUGAGAAAAACGUUGUGAGCUGUUAUGCAAAAUGUUCAUAGUCUUAAAUACUACACUGACAGCAACCAAAAGAAGGAUUUCAUUUCUCAAUGGAUACAGAUGUAAGAGAAAAAGUUAUUAUUAUUUUCAAUGGUGCAGAGAUGACGACAUCAUAUUAAUGCCAUCAGUUAUUUUUUAGGAUAAACGUUAUUUCAAACAUUUGUACCAAGGUUAAAUGUCCUUCUGAUUUAAGCGUAUCUCAGCAGUUGAUCUGAGCUUUUACUUCCUGUUUUACAAGUCCAGCUAAAACAACUCUGGAUACAACACUUUACACGCUACCUGAUGGUGCCGCUUUAGUCCAACGACUACCUCCCAAAAAUACCACAAUUGUCAGACGUCAUCUUGAAGUUGCUCUGUGAAAAUACACUAGUUUCCAGUUGAAAACAGGAGCAAACCAGGGCAGAAUUAUUCAAGAGCUGGAAUAAUAUCGCAGAAAAUUGUCCAACUUGACGAUAGGAUGAUGAGAACGUAGUCGAAUGCUGUAGAUCAUUUUGUCAGCAUCCACUUCUGAACGCAAUCCAAAGAAGCAUUAAUAUCAAAAAGUGUUUUUUCUUUAAGUGGUCUUCAGCAUUUUCUCUAUGUUGACAUGGAUAUGUGAAAUCUAUUUUAAAUUAGAAGUAAAUUAAAGUAUUUCAACAGAACAAAUUAAUUAGCAUUUACUGCACAAACAGUGUUUUAGCUGCAUCGAGGUCGACAAUUUUAACCGUGUUUGGAAACGCAGAGCAGUAUGUGUGAGUUCAGAAGACACAUAGUAAAUCUGAUCAGGCUUUGAAAGGAAGCCACUUCUGUUCUUCUGUUGAUCUCAUCCGUUUUUAGCUUGAAGCUCUCAUUGCAUCUGAGCCAAACCUCCCACGGUCAUCUAACAGCCAGCUGCAGCAACAUCUUUUACUUUUACUCCUAAAUUACAUAUUAUAUACUUUAAAAAAGAAAAACACCUUUUGUGACUAUGAUGCCGCCAAGAAGGCAGCGUUAAAUUUCAACUACAUGUUGAAUAAAUACAUGAGAACUGUUGUUACUGAGUAAAACAAAGCGCUAAACAGACGAGGUAGAGAUAUGAUACAAGACAACCAGGUAACAAGAUAACAAGGACAAGGUUUUUAUUUAUUGAGUUUGUGAAUUCAACUUCAAAUGGCUGUUUCCAAUAAUUAAAGUAGAUAUUAAAUAGAUUAUCUGUUUAUUCUGCAUACUGAAUAAAGAUUUAGCAUUUUUUAUUGUACUUUUCCAGGUUCAUAUUUGACUUUGAAGACAUUCAUCAAACAACAAUCUUCCAAAACAUAAUGCUUACACUAUAAUGAUUUAAUUAACAAACAAUAUACAAGUAGAAUUACCAGGUUUACCUUUACCAACUUUAUUAAUUAAUUAUACAUUUAAAGCAUUGCUUUCACUUUUAAGUAUAUUUAGCUUGGACCACUUAAAUGUUUACCGUGAUAAGAUUUAAAUAGAAGACGUGUUUGAUUUUUUUCCAUGUGGUGUCGCUACUUGUUUGAGGUAAAGAUCUGAGUAUUUCCAACCUCGUUGAACUGACCACCGGCGAUAGGAUGAGUAGCAGGCGGAGGAAGAAGGCGGGGUGGGAUGGGAUGGAUGGAUGGGAUGGGAUGGAUGGAUGGGAUGGGAUGGGUGGGACUGUCUUGCUGACGGCAACAGUCGUGACGCGCUAUUCCACACGCAUGUGCUGACACAAACUGACUAUGGAUUUUUACUCUUAUCAACCCUAAUUUCAAUUACAUUUCUCAUCAGGCCGCGUUAAUUCUCCAGGCUGAGGUUGUUGUUUUUGUCACCUCCUCGUGCGCCCUGAUUUGUGAAGGAAACACCUGUAAAACUGCUCCGCUAGCAGCAGUGAGACACACUCACUGACACACACACACACAUGCUCGCAAAACACACCCACACAGAGUCAGAUAUUCCCGGCAAGUAUCCUUCAAGGACGCCAGGGGAAGACUUGGAGGACAAAAUCACACACUCCCUCUCCCAGUGUCUCAGACGCGCUGCGCUUCUGAUGCAAGCGGAAAGCUGCCUCAUUCCCGCAUUGACACACACUUACACACACACACACACACCCUAAAAGGCCCUUCCACCUCCCCGUCCAUAUGAGAAAAGCAGGACAAUUCCGCUCUGUUGUUGCUACCUCCUGCUCUCAGCUGUUUCAAGCUGUUGUUUGUGUGUGUGUGUGUGCGUGCGUGUGUGUGUGUGUGUGUGUGUUUGUGAUGAGGAGGGGGGUCUCGCUGGGACUCUUUGACAACCUCAUUCACUCCCUUCUUCUCCCCCUCGGCCACAGCGUAGCCGACAUGCCCAACAAUGAGGCGGGAGGGUGGGAGUUGGACGAAAAAAAAAAAAAAACCACUGAAUGCGUCUUCAUUUGCCUGAACUUUUCACACGUCUUUUUCCCUUUUGUUGCCGGACGCCAGUUCACCGCCGUGCCGCGAGCCGCUCGGCCUGUUUCCGCUGGCAAGACAGCCAACCAAAAGCAGCACCCCCCCCCCCUUUCUUUGUCACCCCUCUCCACAAUGUUAAGCCCAUUUCUAGCUUGACAUAAUCUGAGAUGGUACUUAAGUGAAUUUAUGUCUACCUCAGUGCAUUAACUUCUGCUAUUUCCUCCCUUAUGUCGCUUUUUUGGUACGGGGUGCAGCGACUGGAGGGAGCGAGAGAGAGGGAGGGAGGGAGAGAUUUGAACCUCAGCCCACGGAGUAGACAGCCUAUCAGUAUUCAGUAGAGAAAGUGAGUGAUGGAGGGAGAGAGAGAGAGAGACGGGGAGAGAAAGGAGGGGGGGGGGGUGAUGUAUCAAUAUUCUGAGUAGUGUUUGAGGGCAAGGGGAACGAACAGAGGAGAGGGGGGAGGGAGGGAGGGAGAUUGGUGGGAGAGAGAGUACUUGAGAGAGUCUCUGAGUGUGAUUAUUUGUUCACAUAUACGCUGUGUAUGUGUGUGUGUGUGUGUGUGUGUGUGUGUGUCUGUGCUUGUAUGUGUGGUUGUGGCUCUGAGCACAUGUUGACUACAUAGGUUGUAUAUACAGUCAGUGGUGUAAGUAAAAACGUUCACUCCAGCGCGGUUACUUGCGUGUUUCCAUUCAUAUAUUCAUACGGCCCUUUAUAGACCACGUCACAGUGUGACCGCAGAGUAAUUCAAACAGUUAUUAGCAGAACCCACCUUAAAUAUGAUCAUUUAUGUGACACUGUUACCCUCCUUCGCUAUGAGAGGUCGACGUGUUUUUAAUGUUUUUAAUAAGUAAAGGAGCCGCUCUGAAGAUUUGGCUUCGCCUGAAUGAAGUCAUUUUCAAAAUGGUCCAAAUGAUCCAAUUUUGCCUCGUAUGUUCAAAGAGGACCAACCGGGCUUCAUUUAAGACUUCGACUCGUGCAUUUAGAUUAAUAAAUGCUUCAGGUAUGUUUGCAACAAGCGGUGGGAGGUUUUGUGAUCACAUCAAAAAUCUGCAUGUGGGCCCCGUUUCCAAAAAGCAUCAGAGAUCCUACAGACAGGAAUAUAUUGUGUGAGCUUUAAAUGUGGCCUUUGGAGCAAGGGUCUUCAUUCAGUGUCAUACAGCACAAUGCAUCGUGUGUAUCUGGUAUCUCAGACAAAUGUUCCGAAACUCCCCCCCCCCCCCCGUAAAAAGCAGGAAAAGAAUCCAGCUGUUUACGUAAGUGUUGUUGUUCUGUGCCUUCGGUGCCUCGGUGAUGCGCAUCCCCGCACGCUGCUCACACCUGUAGAUUAGAAGAAUACGCGCAGCCGUACCAUCGGCAGGACUGUGUACCGUGCACGUACGAGACAAAGCGAGCGCUGGUAUAAAAAGAAGGCUGUGUGGCGCCGUAGAGGUCAACGACUCCACAGGGGACCCUUGAGGUGCUUUUGAUCAAACGGAGCAUGUUUUUGUAAAUCUACUGAACGGUGUUGGUUGUGGAUCCCGGCGGCACGUUUUGAGCAGCAACAGACAAAUAUGUCUCGUGUUUUCACAGCCAAUCAGGCUGAUUACUGAAAUAAUGAUUUAAUCUUGGGGUACGCUGACGUUGUGGCACAUUAUGGAUGGAUUAAGUCCAUCAAGUGUACGACUAUGACACAAAACCCCCACAUUGACAUCCUGUUUCGUUACUGGUUGCCAACAUUGUUUUUGUUCUUCACAUCUCUAUAAAUCCUUUCCAAACCAAGUAGCUGUUGUCCCUAAAUCCUUAACAAUAGUCGGAGCACCGUUGGCGGAUCUGGACGAGUCUCACUGU
ensembl:lncRNA